rnacentral:rRNA from 1 species
UACGUAGGGUGCAAGCGUUAAUCGGAAUUACUGGGCGUAAAGCGUGCGCAGGCGGUUUUGUAAGUCUGACGUGAAAUCCCCGGGCUUAACCUGGGAAUUGCGUUGGAGACUGCAAGGCUGGAGUCCGGCAGAGGGGGGUAGAAUUCCACGUGUAGCAGUGAAAUGCGUAGAGAUGUGGAGGAACACCGAUGGCGAAGGCAGCCCCCUGGGUCAAGACUGACGCUCAUGCACGAAAGCGUGGGGAGCAAACAGG